AUUGCUUUGUCGGAGAAUGUGAAUCGGUAUAGUCUAUUGUGAGUAGCUACUGCGGGAAGCGCGUUCUCGCUAGCUGUUGAAAAAAACCUACUAAGGAACAUGCUUCAGGCUAUUGAAGUGAAGUGAAUUAUGUGGUAUGCUUCCCAGGAUACGCCAUGUUAUGGAAUUGCCAAAAACCACGAAACCGAUUAUGGAUGUUGUGACUGAUCGAUGUUGAUCAAAUUGUUUCGUGGUUUUUGGUAAAGUACCAGCGACGAGCUUCACCCGCGAAAAGGAUGUAUGCUUGAUCAAGGAACCUGUCGUUUGGAAUCCGCUCAGCGAUGAUUAGUUCGUUCACCUGGAAAACGAAAUCCGAGACGUCCAUCCCAUGAGAAUCUCCGGUGAACUGGAUACACCAUUUAUCUAGGCGGUAAUGCUGGAAACGAUCAUCUCGUCUUCUGUAAUCCUGGGAUCUUUCCGUGAGAAUACUGGAGUCGGAAUCGGAGCUAGACUCUGAAGAGAGCAGACUGCUCAACGAAUCCAGGGAUGAACUUUCACCUUCUGAUGA